GAUGAACGCUAGCUACAGGCUUAACACAUGCAAGUCGAGGGGCAGCAUGGUCUUAGCUUGCUAAGGCCGAUGGCGACCGGCGCACGGGUGAGUAACACGUAUCCAACCUGCCGUCUACUCUUGGACAGCCUUCUGAAAGGAAGAUUAAUACAAGAUGGCAUCAUGAGUCCGCAUGUUCACAUGAUUAAAGGUAUUCCGGUAGACGAUGGGGAUGCGUUCCAUUAGAUAGUAGGCGGGGUAACGGCCCACCUAGUCUUCGAUGGAUAGGGGUUCUGAGAGGAAGGUCCCCCACAUUGGAACUGAGACACGGUCCAAACUCCUACGGGAGGCAGCAGUGAGGAAUAUUGGUCAAUGGGCGAGAGCCUGAACCAGCCAAGUAGCGUGAGGAUGAAGGUCCUACGGAUUGUAAACUUCUUUUAUACGGGAAUAAAGUAUCCUACGUGUAGGAUUUUGUAUGUACCGUAUGAAUAAGCAUCGGCUAACUCCGUGCCAG
rnacentral:rRNA from 1 species